CUACGUAGGGAGCGAGCGUUGUCCGGAAUUACUGGGUGUAAAGGGAGCGUAGGCGGGAGUGCAAGGCAGAUGUGAAAUACAUGGGCUCAACCCAUGGGCUGCAUUUGAAACUGCAUUUCUUGAGUGAAGUAGAGGUAAGCGGAAUUCCUGGUGUAGCGGUGAAAUGCGUAGAUAUCAGGAGGAACACCGGUGGCGAAGGCGGCUUACUGGGCUUUUACUGACGCUGAGGCUCGAAAGCGUGGGGAGCAAACAGGAUUAGAUACCCUGGUAGUCCACGCUGUAAACGAUGAUUACUAGGUGUGGGGGGACUGACCCCUUCCGUGCCGCAGUUAACACAAUAAGUAAUCCACCUGGGAAGUACGGUCGCAAGACUGAAACUCAAAUGAAUUGGCGGGG
rnacentral:rRNA from 1 species